ACAUGCAAGUCGAACGGUAACAUUUCUAGCUUGCUAGAAGAUGACGAGUGGCGGACGGGUGAGUAAUGCUUGGGAACUUGCCUUUGCGAGGGGGAUAACAGUUGGAAACGACUGCUAAUACCGCAUAAUGUCUUCGGACCAAACGGGGCUUAGGCUCCGGCGCAAAGAGAGGCCCAAGUGAGAUUAGCUAGUUGGUAAGGUAACGGCUUACCAAGGCGACGAUCUCUAGCUGUUCUGAGAGGAAGAUCAGCCACACUGGGACUGAGACACGGCCCAGACUCCUACGGGAGGCAGCAGUGGGGAAUAUUGCACAAUGGGGGAAACCCUGAUGCAGCCAUGCCGCGUGUGUGAAGAAGGCCUUCGGGUUGUAAAGCACUUUCAGUUGUGAGGAAAAGUUAGUAGUUAAUACCUGCUAGCCGUGACGUUAACAACAGAAGAAGCACCGGCUAACUCCGUGCCAGCAGCCGCGGUAAUACGGAGGGUGCGAGCGUUAAUCGGAAUUACUGGGCGUAAAGCGCACGCAGGCGGUUUGUUAAGCUAGAUGUGAAAGCCCCGGGCUCAACCUGGGAUGGUCAUUUAGAACUGGCAGACUAGAGUCUUGGAGAGGGGAGUGGAAUUCCAGGUGUAGCGGUGAAAUGCGUAGAUAUCUGGAGGAACAUCAGUGGCGAAGGCGACUCCCUGGCCAAAGACUGACGCUCAUGUGCGAAAGUGUGGGUAGCGAACAGGAUUAGAUACCCUGGUAGUCCACACCGUAAACGCUGUCUACUAGCUGUGUGUGUCUUUAAGACGUGCGUAGCGAAGCUAACGCGCUAAGUAGACCGCCUGGGGAGUACGGGCCGCAAGGUUAAAACUCAAAUGAAUUGACGGGGGCUCGCACAAGCGGUGAGCAUGUGGUUUAAUUCGAUGCACGCGAAAACCUUACCUACACUUGACAUGCUGAGAAGUUACUAGAGAUAGUUUCGUGCCUUUCGGGAACUCAGACACAGGUGCUGCAUGGCUGUCGUCAGCUCGGGUCGGGGGAUGUUGGGUUAAGUCC
rnacentral:rRNA from 1 species